rnacentral:rRNA from 1 species
AGAGUUUGAUCCUGGCUCGGGAUGAACGCUAGCUACAGGCUUAACACAUGCAAGUCGAGGGGCAGCAUUUUAGUUUGCUUGCAAACUAAAGAUGGCGACCGGCGCACGGGUGAGUAACACGUAUCCAACCUGCCGAUAACUCGGGGAUAGCCUUUCGAAAGAAAGAUUAAUAUCCGAUGGUAUAUUUUCUCCGCAUGGUGAGAAUAUUAAAGAAUUUCGGUUAUCGAUGGGGAUGCGUUCCAUUAGUUUGUUGGCGGGGUAACCGG